rnacentral:rRNA from 1 species
UCUGACCUCAAAUCAGGUAGGACUACCCGCUGAACUUAAGCAUAUCAAUAAGCGGAGGAAAAGAAACUAACAAGGAUUCCCCUAGUAACUGCGAGUGAAGCGGGAAAAGCUCAAAUUUGAAAUCUGGCAGUCUUUUUUUUCUUCUUUGGCUGUCCGAGUUGUAAUCUAGAGAAGUGCUUACCUGCACUGGACCAUGUAUAAGUCUCCUGGAAUGGAGUGUCGCAGAGGGUGAGAAUCCCGUCUUUGACAUGGACUGCCAGUGUGUUGUGGUGUGCUCUCAAAGAGUCGAGUUGUUUGGGAAUGCAGCUCUAAAUGGGUGGUAAACUCCAUCUAAAGCUAAAUAUUGGCGAGAGACCGAUAGUGAACAAGUACCGUGAGGGAAAGAUGAAAAGGACUUUGGAAAGAGAGUUAAACAGUAUGUGAAAUUGUUGAAAGGGAAACGCUUGAAGUCAGUUAUGUUGGCUAGGGAUCAACCUAGCUACUUUUGCUGGGUGAAUUUCCUAGUCUUACAGGCCAACAUCAGUCUUGACUGCUGGAAAAGAGCAGAGGGAAUGUGGCACUUUCGGGUGUGUUAUAGCCCUUUGUCAUAUGUGGCAGUUGGAACUGAGGAAUGCAGCAUGCCGCGAGGCUGGGUUUCUGACCACGUUCAUGCUUAGGAUGUUGGCUUUUAAUGGCUUCAAUCGACCCGUCUUGAAACACGGACCAAGGAGUCUAACAUGCCUGCGAGUAUUUGGGUGGGGAAAACCCUUGUGCACAAUGAAAGUGAAAGUUGAGAUCCCUGUCAUGGGGGAGCAUCGACGCCCGGACUUGAGCUUUUAGCGACGGAUCCGCGGUAGAGCAUGCAUGUUGGGACCCGAAAGAUGGUGAACUAUGCCUGAAUAGGGCAAAGCCAGAGGAAACUCUGGUGGAGGCUCGUAGCGAUUCUGACGUGCAAAUCGAUCGUCAAAUUUGGGUAUAGGGGCGAAAGACUAAUCGAACCAUCUAGUAGCUGGUUCCUGCCGAAGUUUCCCUCAGGAUAGCAGAAGCUCAUUAUCAG